rnacentral:rRNA from 1 species
UACGAAGGGAGCUAGCGUUGUUCGGAAUUACUGGGCGUAAAGCGCGCGUAGGUGGCCAUGCAAGUCAGGGGUGAAAUCCCGGGGCUCAACCCCGGAACUGCCUUUGAAACUGCAUGGCUUGAGUCUCGGAGGGGAUGGUGGAAUUCCUAAUGUAGCGGUGAAAUGCGUAGAGAUUAGGAGGAACACCGGUGGCGAAGGCGACCAUCUGGACGAGUACUGACACUGAGGCGCGAAAGCGUGGGUAGCAAGCAGG